AGUGAACGCUGGCGGUAGGCCUAACACAUGCAAGUCGAACGGCAGCACAGUAAGAGCUUGCUCUUACGGGUGGCGAGUGGCGGACGGGUGAGGAAUACAUCGGAAUCUACUUUUUCGUGGGGGAUAACGUAGGGAAACUGACGCUAAUACCGCAUACGACCUACGGGUGAAAGCAGGGGAUCUUCGGACCUUGCGCGAUUGAAUGAGCCGAUGUCGGAUUAGCUAGUUGGCGGGGUAAAGGCCCACCAAGGCGACGAUCCGUAGCUGGUCUGAGAGGAUGAUCAGCCACACUGGAACUGAGACACGGUCCAGACUCCUACGGGAGGCAGCAGUGGGGAAUAUUCGACAAUGGGCGCAAGCCUGAUCCAGCCAUACCGCGUGGGUGAAGAAGGCCUUCGGGUUGUAAAGCCCUUUUGUUGGGAAAGAACAGCAGCAGGUUAAUCCCCCGCUGUUCUGACGGUACCCAAAGAAUAAGCACCGGCUAACUUCGUG
rnacentral:rRNA from 1 species